ensembl:rRNA 5S_rRNA 5S ribosomal RNA
GCUUAUGGCCAUACCAGCCUGGCUAUGCCUGAUCUUGUCUGAUCUCGUAAGCUAAGCAGGUUUGGGCCUGGUUAGUGCCUGGAUGCGUGACCGCCUGGGAAUGCCAGGUACUGUAAGCU